UUGAAGUCAGGCCACUUGUGCCACGGCUUGAGCAAACCGUGCUGCCGAGUGCGCCGCAGAU
rnacentral:lncRNA from 1 species